rnacentral:lncRNA from 1 species
CGGUGGCCAAGUGGUUAGCGCACUUGCCUUUCACCUCUGAGGCUGCGGGUUCGAGUCUCACUAAGUACCUUCUCAGUGCGACCCGAACCCAGUCCCCAUGCGAAAAGAGUAAAAAGUCAACGCUCUGCCGAAAGCCGUGGGUUUUCCCCGGGUACUCCGGUUUCCUCCCACAGGGAAAGUUGACAGGGUGAGUUAGGUAAAAA